UCGCCUGGCAAACACUGAUCUGUUUGUUCGUGUUGUACCACUAAGAGUGGUUUGCCUAAGGUGAUUGCUCGUGCCUUGUGCAGUCACCAUCAUUCUGGUACCACAAACAGCCUACUCUUACCAGAUUGAGGUCAAAAUGUGCCAUUUGACUCUAAAGCAGGAUAUUUUGUCCAAGCAGCAGGUGAAACUAAUCUCCUGAUCAUUCCAUUGCAACUGCUGGCUGGUUAACAAGGCUCAAGCAGGUCUGUGUAGCAUUACCUCAUGUAUUUUGGGAGUCCCGCAGUCUGAAAAAAGACAUAGCCUACAAAUGCCAUUUUAGCCCUUCAUUUGUGGCACUCAUUAAUGAGGCAUAGGACAGAACAUAGUUGCAGACCUUGGGUUUUAUAGCUCAGCAGUCCUAGACUUUUUCCUCUUCUGAGCAUAGAUGCUGACAGUCAUCCUAAACCAUAAAGCGUGUUCAUGUUAAUAAAAUAAUAAUAAUAAUACAAAGCUAAGCAACAAUGAAUAAGCUGGAGUGAGGCUACUGUACUUUGCUUUCCCUUUCCUUUAACGAAUCCCAACCCUGGCCCACAAGUUUCAGCAGUUUUUCUCCCUUUGAAAAAUCCAGGCUCACUCUCCCCUUUCCUCCCAACCCCCACUAUCCCCCUUGGGUAUUGUCCUAUUGAUGUGACUUUAACUAACUACAUAAAGGUCAGUGUGCAUUACUGCUCUUGUGCAUAUAAAGCAAUGAGAGUAACAGCAGGGUCACAAUUAAUUGCAAAAUCUAUCCCAAGUUUCAACUUCUUUUUUUAAUAAAUUCAGUUUUUGUGAGCUUUGUUUUUUUACAUAUUUUGGGGGAUUACUGGUGUCAGUUUGAUGGUUUAGCUAAUCAAAUAACAUCAUGUUACUUCCCUUUUAGUCUCAUCUUUAUUGUACUCAUAUGAAUUAAAAUGGGAAUUUUAAUUAACUCCAAAGGCAUGAGAUUCUCAGUGACUCCUGAAUUUCCUAUUUAAUAAAUACUUGAAUGAGAUAUGGAUUCGUAUUUCUUGAAUGAGAACAGCACCUAUUCAGUUUUCAUUUUGGAAUGGAAUAUAUUAAGCUUAAAUUCUGAAUGAACUUGACAUCAGUUUAAUGUAGUAAUGUGCAGAAAGUUUACUGAAAAAUCUUUGAUUUUUCCCUGUUCAACCUGAACGUAUUGUACUGCUGUGCCACAUAAGCUAUGUGGCUUAUUUCUGGGGAGUUUAGGCUCUUUGAUAAGUGAUAACACAAAGUUAAACUUCUACUGUAUCUUAAGAGGCAAACAAACUCACUCUUAUAAAGUUGUUCACUUAAUUAUUUUUCCUAUAGCAGACUUUCAUAGCCAUUUUAUACUCUUCAGAGGAACAGACUUGGUUCAGCCAUGAAGGUAAAUGAGACUGAUGUGUUUUGUCACAGUUGAGAAUGAAGAAAAAUUAAACCUCUUUCCAUUGUAAAUGUCUGUCUAAUAAUGCAAAAACUUUCCUUGUGGUAAGCAUCUACAGUGGCCAUUUUUUUAGUAGUCAUAACAUUAGGAGUGCUGUUGCUAAGACUGAGUUACUCUUCACUCUCUGACAGACAGCAUGAGCUGCCAGGUAAUGUGCUUCAGAGUACAACAAAGCUUUGUGCCCCUUUGCGGUUUUAAUCAGUGUUAAACAAAUGAUUUCAUCCCAUCGUAUUUUUGAGUGUACUCAUUCUAAUAGGCAGAGUAUUUUCCUAAUUUAUCUGCUAAUCACUAGAAACACACUUGGCCUCAGUUCAGAGAUUGUUGUGUCUUAAAUUUCAAGCUGGGCUUAGUACAGAGCUAAGAAAUCCAGAGCGAUUCAGUGGUGAAAUGGGAGUGUUUUGCACACACUCAGGUGAGAUGAACCGGGACCUGUCCUUUGUACACUCAGCACUAUCUGUACUCACACUCACAAAGGCCAAUAUUUGAACUAGUUACUGCAACUUCCUCAUCAGAGUUUAAUUAUGAGAAGUUUGACUUAUGCAGUGACAGAGAAGUCAGGUUAUCACACAGUUGUAUUUAUCUUGUGGUGUUUUAGAGAGAUUUUUUGGUGAGCUGGUUGAAUAAUUCUCCAUGCUGUCUUCGCAGUGUCUCUACUGUAAGUGGAUUCAUGCACCUUCCCUGGAAUGAGAUAACGUCUUCUGAAAACGUUCCAUCUGGAAGGAAGCGGACGUGAGGGUGAAGGUUCUGCGCUGGUCAGGGUGAGAAUUGCCGGUAACAGGUGUGAGAAAGUCUUCUUCUAACAUGCGGAUUUGUCAUCCAGUAACAUCAGCCAUACCCUUUCAGGUUGGGCUGUGUGAAGACUUUGAAGAAAGCUGCUCCCUAUCCCCACCUUUUCUGCUACUCCAGGUUGGGAAUUCAAGAGGAAGUGGAGUUCUCAUUCCAUAGAAAUGGCUCAUUUUGUAUAGCACUUGACUUGGACCGCAUUGAAGGGCAAGGCUCAGGAGCAGCAGCAGCAGAUGCAGGAACAUUACUUAAUCAAUUGCUAAUCUGUCCUCAUUAACAAAGACGUCCUUCCAGAGUGGAUAUUAAGACAAAGAGCUUUUGGCAUUUGAGCAGACUUAAGUGAACAUCUGUGUUUCUGAUGUCAGAAGAUUCACUGUGUGAUAAUGGAAGUGAAGCCUCAAAGGAAAAUCCUUUCGCUGAUAAAAAGUAAGACUUCUUUUGUUUUAUUACUUUUAGAUACUUUUAAAGAACUAACUCUGGUUCAUGUUCUGUCUUUUACCUUUUUCUUUUUUAAGUUUGCUUUUGUUAUUUAUAUUACCUCACUCUUUCAUGUGCUUUGAAUUGGAAUGGAAAUUUCAAGGUCUAUCUGGAUGUACAAAUUGCAUAGG